rnacentral:rRNA from 1 species
AUGAACGCUAGCUACAGGCUUAACACAUGCAAGUCGAGGGGCAGCAUGGUCUUAGCUUGCUAAGGCCGAUGGCGACCGGCGCACGGGUGAGUAACACGUAUCCAACCUGCCGUCUACUCUUGGACAGCCUUCUGAAAGGAAGAUUAAUACAAGAUGGCAUCAUGAGUCCGCAUGUUCACAUGAUUAAAGGUAUUCCGGUAGACGAUGGGGAUGCGUUCCAUUAGAUAGUAGGCGGGGUAACGGCCCACCUAGUCUUCGAUGGAUAGGGGUUCUGAGAGGAAGGUCCCCCACAUUGGAACUGAGACACGGUCCAAACUCCUACGGGAGGCAGCAGUGAGGAAUAUUGGUCAAUGGGCGAGAGCCUGAACCAGCCAAGUAGCGUGAAGGAUGACUGCCCUAUGGGUUGUAAACUUCUUUUAUAAAGGAAUAAAGUCGGGUAUGGAUACCCGUUUGCAUGUACUUUAUGAAUAAGGAUCGGCUAACUCCGUGCCAGCAGCCGCGGUAAUACGGAGGAUCCGAGCGUUAUCCGGAUUUAUUGGGUUUAAAGGGAGCGUAGAUGGAUGUUUAAGUCAGUUGUGAAAGUUUGCGGCUCAACCGUAAAAUUGCAGUUGAUACUGGAUAUCUUGAGUGCAGUUGAGGCAGGCGGAAUUCGUGGUGUAGCGGUGAAAUGCUUAGAUAUCACGAAGAACUCCGAUUGCGAAGGCAGCCUGCUAAGCUGCAACUGACAUUGAGGCUCGAAAGUGUGGGUAUCAAACAGGAUUAGAUACCCUGGUAGUCCACACGGUAAACGAUGAAUACUCGCUGUUUGCGAUAUACUGCAAGCGGCCAAGCGAAAGCGUUAAGUAUUCCACCUGGGGAGUACGCCGGCAACGGUGAAACUCAAAGGAAUUGACGGGGGCCCGCACAAGCGGAGGAACAUGUGGUUUAAUUCGAUGAUACGCGAGGAACCUUACCCGGGCUUAAAUUGCAGAUGAAUUACGGUGAAAGCCGUAAGCCGCAAGGCAUCUGUGAAGGUGCUGCAUGGUUGUCGUCAGCUCGUGCCGUGAGGUGUCGGCUUAAGUGCCAUAACGAGCGCAACCCUUGUUGUCAGUUACUAACAGGUUCUGCUGAGGACUCUGACAAGACUGCCAUCGUAAGAUGUGAGGAAGGUGGGGAUGACGUCAAAUCAGCACGGCCCUUACGUCCGGGGCUACACACGUGUUACAAUGGGGGGUACAGAGGGCCGCUACCACGCGAGUGGAUGCCAAUCCCCAAAACCUCUCUCAGUUCGGACUGGAGUCUGCAACCCGACUCCACGAAGCUGGAUUCGCUAGUAAUCGCGCAUCAGCCACGGCGCGGUGAAUACGUUCCCGGGCCUUGUACACACCGCCCGUCAAGCCAUGGGAGCCGGGGGUACCUGAAGUGCGUAACCGCGAGGAGCGCCCUAGGGUAAAACUGGUGACUGGGGCU